AUAUUUUUGGAUUUACUAAUAAAAACGUUUAAAUCUGUUCUUAUCAGCUUAAUAUCUGAUACGGUUUCCAUCGGAGACCUUCGAUAUUAACCUGAUUUUUGCAACGGGGCGGGAAAGGGGGCUUGCUCCCUCCCCGCCGCGGGUUGCUCUGGCCUGGCACUUAUUGCCAGAGAUAGCCCACCCCCC
rnacentral:snRNA from 1 species